CUUUUUUUCUAUUCUUGUUUUAGAAAAUGAAAAGCUUUCUUAAGACAAUAGGACGGGCCGGGCGCGGUGGCUCAUGCCUGUAAUCCUAACACUCUGGGAGGCCGAGGUUGGCGGAUCACGAGGAAGCAGAAUCUGAAACUUUCUGAGGAGAGCAUUUGAGCUUCAGAUUUCUAACAGCCUCUUUGCAACAAAAUAGACCAGUAGCUGAAGGCAACUGCAAUCCUUCAUGAUGUUUCCCUUGGCCAGAAAUGCACUAAGCAGUCUCAAGAUUCAAAGCAUUCUGCAAAGCAUGGCAAGACAUAGCCAUGUAAAACACUCACCAGAUUUUCAUGAUAAAUAUGGUAAUGCUGUGCUAGCCAGUGGAACUGCUUUCUGUGUUGCUACAUGGGUGUUUACAGCCACUCAGAUUGGAAUAGAAUGGAACCUAUCCCCUGUUGGCAGAGUUACCCCAAAAGAGUGGAAACAUCAGUAACCAUCACAGUUGCUGUAAUGACAGAAUUGUUUAAAAAACCAACUUGUCAUGUAAGCACUCUACUGCUUAUUAAAAUAUAGCACAAUUGAAAAAAUAAAAUGUGUUUUAAAUCUUU
rnacentral:lncRNA from 1 species